GGGACUUGGCGACGAGUGGGACGCGGGGCGUUGUUUGUGCCUCUAAGAGUGAUGAGACCUCGGGAUGCUUUCUGCGCUCUCCACACGCUUUCUGCUGCAGGUCGACUGUGCGUGCGGUAGUAAAUCCUCCAUUCAAAACAAAACACUUGCAUCCUCACUGUCCUGACCUAGCACUUUAAAGUAUAUGCGUGUGUUUGCAUCUCAUGGGGUUCCGAGGACAUCCCACCCCGUAUAUGGACCGUACCCUUCCUUUCCUCAGACUCCACCUGAAUUAUUUGUCUAGUUUUUGUUUGUGUUUUUUUUUUUCAAGCCAGGCCUACCUUACUCCUUUAAGUUGGGGUGCCUGUUAGAACAGGCGUGGGUAUGGGUCCCAGGACUCAUGCUGCUGUCAGUCCCAGAGCAUUUUCAUGUCUUUUUGGCCUUAGCAAAGGCCUUGAACAUAGCACAUUUGAAUUUUCCGGAAGUCUACAAUCUGUCAAUGGUUCUAGACUUUCAUCAACGCUGCUUUCUCUAUAGAACUCAGCCUCUCCCUGCCUCAGCUUCCUCAUCCUCCAAAGGAAGGACGGAUGGUUUCUAAGCCCCUUGGAACACUCACAUUCUAGGACGCCGAAGGACACAAUCGUGUUCAGCUCCAGGCCCAGAAAAGCAGCAAAACAGAUGAAGCAACACCA